UUUGUUUUUAUCUUGUCAGAACAUGCCUUUCAAGGACUUCUUCACCAAGUACAAUCAAUCAAAUUUGUACGAAAUCCAAGAGGUUGUUAGUAAGGUAAGUUAUGGUGUUGUGGCUGCUGCAGUUGAUACCAACUUGUCAAGCUCCUCCGGUUGAUAUUAUAGGCCUUUACUACGGCGAUAAGGAAGAAAAAAGAAAACACUACAAAAAUAUAUGGUGAAGAAAUCAUGCCAGAUAAUUAAUGUUCCCAAAAUGCUUGUCAUAUUUGAUCUACAUGCUUCAUUUGAUUGUAUGUACCUCUGUCCAUUUACCAUUAACAGGACUGUAUAUCUGGGAGUAGACGGUGAGAAUUAGCAGUUGUUUGUUUUGCUUUUGUUUUGUUAUAUCAACAGUUGUCCUAAGCAUUGGUUUGCCUGAUUGUGAAUCUUCUCACUAAUAUUAAAUCCAUAGGAAACGAUUGAAAUAUUAGGAUUUGCAGCUUCUAAAUUUUAAGAUGUUUGCAGAUUCUCAUCUACGGCAAUCUAUGGAAUAUUGAAAGUCAUUAUCCUUUAUCCUGUGCUUCUGUAGAUUCAUAUGAGGCCUGCACCAAAACCAUAAACCACAUUAGACUUUCAGACUUGAGAAAUCAUUAAUGUUGACACGAAGAAGCCCUGAAGAUGCUCAAGGAGUAGAGGUAUUCAUCACAUUCUUUGACCUUUUCCACAUUAGAUAUAAUAUGAUUUAUCAACUGCAUAUGCCUCCCAUUGUAUCUCCAUGCUUCUGGUUAGGUGUUCCUGCUGCCACAGUGAACCUUUGUACCUGGUAUGAAUUUGAUGGAUCAUAACUGUGCAUAUGGUGCUUGGUCCUUUUCUCAUGUUGUCCUUAAACCAUUAUCUCUAAUGCUUCUUGUUUUAGAUCCUUGGCAUUUGUUCUUGAUUUUUAUCUGAUUGUUGCUCAAUAAUGAUUUUGCAGGGCCAACACCACCACCACCACCACCACCAACACCAGCUUCUAGUAAUAUUGCUCAUGUAUCCAGCUGGAGUUCCAUCAGUUAAAAGCGCAGUUUGCUAUUUCAUUACAAAUGUAAAUGGUGCUGGUACUGCAUAUAAUUAAUAAGGUGAUCUACUGAUCUUGAAUCACGUAUGCUUCUUAAUAUACUUGUGUGUCUCUUCUUAUGGAGGGAUUGCAACAUCUGCAUCGCCACCUACUCGGUUAGAUAUUUCCUCCUCUACCCCUCCAUUAAGAAAUACAUAUUUUUUGCACAUGGAGUCGAGGAUAAAUGUUUUUUUUUCUGUUGGAGGCACCAUCCCAGUCUCAUAAUCUCGUGUCAUUCAUAAUCCUAUGACUGAUGAUGAAAGCGGUGAACGUCGUUGUGGUGUGACAUCUUCCGUUGUGAAUACUAUUUCUGGUCCUUGUUUUCUUCAAGGUUAUAGAGAUAUGAUGUACAUAUCCUGGCAGAUAUAUGUACAGACUUCACGGUUUCGCCGAUCAUCAUGCAAUCCUUGGUUUAGUCCAUUCAUCACGCGGUGUUUCAGUUAGAUUUGUUAGGUCUGUAAUGAACAAAAGAGCUGAAGAUUGGAGCACAAUUUGGCUAUUAUUUACUGAUUUUAUUUUAUUAUUGAAAAUAGAUUAUUGUU